AAGAAGUACAACAGCUCUCUACCGCAAGAAAGUCUAAUCUAUUCCAGCACUCUCUUUGCUGUGAGACAGGCUGUUAUAUAGACUUAAAUGGC
ensembl:snoRNA